rnacentral:rRNA from 1 species
GCACCACAAGAACGCGUGGAGCAUGUGGCUUAAUUUGACUCAACGCGGGAAAUCUUACCGGGUCCGGACACACUGAGGAUUGACAGGCAAUAUCUCAUGUUAACGGUAAGUUUACUUACCGCUUAGCAUCGAGUGUUAAAUAUGCUAGUCCUUUCAUGAUUAUGUGAUAGGUGGUGCAUGGCCGUUCUUAGUUCGUGGAGUGAUCUGUCUGCUUAAUUGCGUUUCACUAAGGGCCCAUAAAUUCAAGGUAUGUUAGCUCUCGUCGCUCUAUGGACCCCUUAACUCCAAUAUUCUUAUUGUGUUAAGCGCGUGUCUUUAUUUUAAGAGUUUUAAGACACUGCGCAUGCUGUUGGGCUCUGAAAGCAACGAACGUGACCGCAACGUCUUGUUGCCUUAAACUAGCGUAUAUUGCAAUUUAUUGUAAUAUCGCUUACAGAGGCUAUUUAAAACUAGACGGACCGCUGUUUCUUUCUUAAACCAGAGGAAGGUUGCGGCAAUAACAGGUCUGUGAUGC